rnacentral:rRNA from 1 species
UACGUAGGCAGCAAGCGUUGUUCGGAGUUACUGGGCGUAAAGGGUGUGUAGGCGGUUGUUUAAGUUUGGUGUGAAAUCUCCCGGCUCAACUGGGAGGGUGCGCCGAAUACUGAAUGACUUGGAGUGCGGGAGAGGAGAGUGGAAUUCCUGGUGUAGCGGUGAAAUGCGUAGAUAUCAGGAGGAACACCGGUGGUGUAGACGGCUUUCUGGACCGUAACUGACGCUGAGACACGAAAGCGUGGGUAGCAAACAGG